rnacentral:misc_RNA from 1 species
GAUGAAGAACGUAGCAAAAUGCGAUAAGUAAUGUGAAUUGCAGAAUUCAGUGAAUCAUCGAAUCUUUGAACGCACAUUGCGCCCGCUGGUAUUCCGGCGGGCAUGCCUGUUCGAGCGUCAUUUCAACCCUCAAGCCCCCGGGUUUGGUGUUGGGGAUCGGCUCUGCCCUCUGGGCGGUGCCGCCCCCGAAAUACAUUGGCGGUCUCGCUGCAGCCUCCAUUGCGUAGUAGCUAACACCUCGCAACUGGAACGCGGCGCGGCCAUGCCGUAAAACCCCAACUUCUGAAUGUCGACCUCGGAUCAGGUAGGAAUACCCGCUGAACUUAAGCAUAUCAAUAAGCGGAGGA